CUUAACGGUGCAUUAACCAUUUUCGAGCAUGAAUGAGGCAUCCAGGUCUCUCCCUGGAUGCCGAGUGGCUUAAGAGGCCCACUCUGUUUGACGCUUCCCUGUUAGACUUCAGAGCCGCCACGGGCGGCUCAAUUUUU
rnacentral:sRNA from 1 species